rfam:Nicotiana attenuata strain TT chromosome 10, whole genome shotgun sequence.
UUUGGAUCGAUGAUGAUGAAAAUAUUAUUACUGCGUUAUCUUUCUAGAAUUCCCAUUUAUGGGAUUGAAGACGAUUUUUGUAACUGAGAUCCAAU